AUUAUGCCUGGAAUGGUUUAUGUUUCAAAUAAUUUAUUGCCGUAGGAUGGGACUGCGGCCUAUCAGUUUGUUGGUGAGGUAAUGGCCCACCAAGACUAUUACAGGUACGGGCUCUGAGAGGAGUAGCCCGGAGAUGGGUACUGAGACACGGACCCAGGCCCUAUGGGGCGCAGCAGGCGAGAAAACUUUGCAAUGUGCGAAAGCACGACAAGGUUAAUCCGAGUGGUUUCUGCUAAAGGAACCUUUUGUCAGUCCUAGAAACACUAAUGAAUAAGGGGUGGGCAAGUUCUGGUGUCAGCCGCCGCGGUAAAACCAGCACCUCAAGUGGUCAGGAUGAUUAUUGGGCCUAAAGCAUCCGUAGCCUGCUUUGUAAGUUUUCGGUUAAAUCCAUACGCUCAACGUAUGGGCUGCCGGGAAUACUGCAAAGCUAGGGAGUGGGAGAGGUAGACGGUACUCGGUAGGAAGGGGUAAAAUCCUUUGAUCUAUUGAUGACCACCUGUGGCGAAGACGGUCUACCAGAACACGUCCGACGGUGAGGGAUGAAAGCUGGGGGAGCAAACCGGAUUAGAUACCC
rnacentral:rRNA from 1 species